GUGGCCUGUCAGCUACAGCAGAGACAGCAGGCCUCUCUGGUCAUGGCGCCUCUCCCUAGCUUUCCUUCAAGAGCCAUGUGCACAAGACACCUUCUGGCUACCUGGGGCUUCCACAGUUGUUAGAGAAGUCAACGUUCUACCAUCCAGAUCUACUACACACUGAUACAGCAAUGGGCAUUUGUUUUCCUCUAAACAAAAAGGAGGUAAGAAGAAAAAGGAUUCCGAAAGACAGACGACUGUGUGGAGAGUGUGUCUUAUCUGCAUAAGCCUUUGGAGGACAAAAGAAGACAAGGGAGCACCUAGACCUGAGUUACUAGCAUUUGUGAGCCAUCGUGUGGAUUCUAGGAACCAAGCCCAGGUCCUCUGCAGGAACAGACAAAGACUCUUCGUGGAGCCCAGAAUUCAUUUCGAGUAUCCAAAGUGUCAACGUUCUGUUUUCUCACCCGUAGUUACAUACAGUCAGUCUCAGAAAGUGUUGAGUUUGGAGUAAAAAAUAACAAACAAAUAUUGUAGUCUAGCUUCCUUGGAUGCUUCCAAACCACCUCCAAAUGACAAAGUGAAACUAGUUGAAAGCACUUGCAAGCUUUGAGUUCUACUCAAAUGCUUAAUGAAAAGAUCUCCAGAGAAGAAGCAGAUCCUUCCUUCUCCGGGAUGCCAGUUGCCUUCAACCUCGUUAAUAUUCUUAAUUAUUCAAGAGGGGGCUGAGGUUGCCAUGUCUAUGAGGUUGUCAUAGAUCAAUUAAAUCCUGAGACUUUCUGAGGUGACAUUCAGAUCGGUGACAAGGUGAAAGGAAAUCAAUUUUCACUUUUCAGCCUGCGGGUGCCCACGGAUUUCCUGGGGUGAGUGGCGAACUCUCAUUUCAGACACAAAGGCAAAGAUGGCCUUGUCUUCUGGGGCCAGAGGCUGAUUGCUGAGGUGAUGCCUGGAAGAAUGGGAACCCCAGGGGUCUUGCCUCGCCAUUAGGGGCUCUGAUACAAAAAAAGACCUCUUUAUUCUGGAGUCAGAAAAAAGCCGAGGAUGGAAUUCCUAUUUCACCAAUCCUUGAAGUGAAAUUACCCCGCACAUUUGGACUUCAAGCAGGGAUAAGAGCAGCAGCCAUCAUUAUUCAGCCAAUACAUGAUGGGAAGAAAUGCUUUCUGAGGAAGAAUGCCACCUCACGGGGAGGAAAAAUGAGUCAAGGUGGAGCAGAGUGAGCCCGCCAUUUAAUCGGCGAUCACCCUGACCUGUCGGACUUCGUCCGGCUAGGCUAGUUCCUGUAUGUUUGGGUCAAAGAAGAAGAUAAUUAAACAAAGACUGGAGCAUUGAGAGGCCUGAUAUUUCCAGGGGUUGCACUGUGAGCAAGCUGGAUAGAUGUGCGAUGCUUUUAAUGCAUUCCGUUUCCUAAUUAGCAAUCAGGGCCCAUUUGUCAGUCAUUCCAGCCAUGACGCAUACAACCCUGGAACAUAGGGCGGAGCAAGGCAAGUUGAGAAAAUCAAUUAUGCCUAUGUUUACAUUCCCUUAAGGCUGGGGUGUUGCAAAACUGCCUAAAUAUUGCAUUCUCCUUACAAAGGAGCAGGAAGGAAGGGUGAGACUGCAAUUCAGUAUAAUGAAUAAAUCUCUUGCUGUUUGGAGAAAGGUACAAUGGCUGAAUAUUUAUGAGACUGCUGAUGGGUAAUGCAUUUUAUGUGAUCUGCAACUGUGAAAAUGGAAUUCCAUUUUUAGACCUCGCAGGAACAAGUACAUGUUCAAGAAAUGAAGACUGUGCUUGUGCCUACAGAAGUUCCGUGCAAACGGUCCAGGAUUUAGCCUCAUGUUCGAAACUGGAUGGAAGAAUGGGGAGUUAAUGUCCGGCUCAGAUAAUCACUGCUUGCAAAGUCGCCUCAGACUCAGAGACGAGGUAGAACAAAACUCCCGUCUAGACUUCUGACAGCUAAAGCCAGCAUCUCCGCUUCCCCAGGGCCUAUGCAGUGUUCAUCCAAGCACCUAUCUUCCAUUUCAACCAUUCCAGGAAACCCAGUCCUGCCAGCCCACCAGACCUUGAAACUUCUAAGCCCAUGACUAACUCCUCUACUCAGCUUCCCAGAUCUCCCAAUCCCAUUGUGACUUCUGUCGUUGAAACUCUUUCCUUCCUGUUUCCAUGGUCCUCCCUCUUAACCAUCCUUCUGUGUCUCCAGCGCCCCCUGCUUCUCUUUUCCUGAGCUCUGCCUUCUGUGUCUUAAGUACUGUCGGUUCCCACCUCAACCACACAGUUUUUGAGUGAUACUUGCUUCGGUUUUCGCCAUCAAAGUCCCUAACCGGCUUUAAUUUCAUAGCUGAGCCUAAACGGUCAUCAACACUCUUUACUCCGUGGGUCCCAGCUACAAAUGACCGUCUUCUGGUCCCACCACACCCCAGUUCUUCCUUGUGCCUUCCCUGUUACAGUUUGAAGUUAAUGGCUUCUGAGAUGCUCUAAAACUCACUUUGUGAGGAUUGUGUCCUUGAGAGCCCCACCCUUUCAGGUGGGGUUGGACCUAGUAACCUUCUAACAGCUAGACCAUGGUGACAUGUGACUUCUAAGACGAGGUUUUUAAAGGGGUGUACACAGAGAGAUUAUAUUAUUUUUGUUUCUUUUGCUUUUUUUUUGACUCAGUCUCCUAUAGUCCAGGCUGGGCUUGAACUCCCUGUCCAGCAGAGGCUGACUUUAACUUCCAGAUCCUUCAGUCCCUACCUUCUGAUUGCUGAAUUGUACAUCCAGUAUGAAAUUAUACUAUAUAUAAUAGAGCUUCCUAAAUGAUUUCUACUAAUGAUUCCUUUUCACUUGAGAAAAGUGUGCAUGAUCCCCAGACAUACAAGUACAUAAAAUAGAAGUACAAAUCAAACAU
rnacentral:sRNA from 1 species